UUUGGUUCAAUUUAUAACAUAAUUUCUUUUUUAAAGUUUUGGCUUAAAGCCCACUUGAAAAAUAUGCAAAUUGGGAGCCCCCACCGCCUCACGAGGACAAUCAAAAUCACAAUCAGAGUCCCAAAAGUGCAUCCGGCCGUAAAUAUUUGAUUUUCAGUUUACGCAUUAAAUGCAAAUAUUGAUGGAGAAUGCUUCUGCCGAAGUGUCAAAAACACAAAACGCAUUGCUAUGAAAAUUGAAAUGUAAUUUACAAAUUUAUUCAUUGAUUUUUUGCGAGUGAAAUUUAAUUGAAGCCUAUGGGAGCCAGUGGGAGUCAGUGGGAGCCAAAUGAGAGCUGAAAUGAACACGUCACAUUAAAAGGGAUUCCGCGGAUGCGCCUCCGCGAACCUGACAAAACAUUAUGCCAGCAAAAACAGAAAAAAGCACAUUUUGUCGUGUCGAAAAUUAAAACAAAUUGGACUAAAUGAACGGAGAUGAAUGCUGACAUGCAGAGCAGAGGCGAGAGGAGUGCGAAGUGUGCGAAUAAAACUAACAAAACGGACGAAACUUUCGCCUCUGGGAGGAGGGAGAGCGGAGCCCACAAAAACCAUUCGGGGGCAGACUCGCUGUCAAAUCUGGAUGGCUGACAAUGACAGCAGCAGGGUAGCCGUAGCCGUCAAGUUCUACAGCAAAAUAAAUUGUUUUCGUUACACAAUUUUUUGGUGUUAUGCGCGGCACUUGACUUGUAAACGGGCGAUGGCCCCGACGACCGGAAUAACCACAAAGGAAGCACACAGAGGCAGCAUCGAGGGGAGGGGGACGGACCUCAAAGAGCUCGCUUCUUCCUGCCAUUGUUGACCCAGUUAUGAGCCACAAAACAGUCGACACACAAACAACAGCCAAGGCGGCAUCUCCAUCUCCUUCGUCUCCACUCCUCCGUCUGAAGAAUCUCUCCCGCUAAUGACAGCAACUCAAGUUUGGUGCGCUGAAAAGUAUGCUAUGGCUAUGUGCUGACAUAACAAGGAGCAUAAGAAAUUAAAGAUAUAUGAACCCCGCCAGACAAGAAGCAGAGCAGCCGAGAAUGCUGACCAUAAAACUGGCAGAUAGAAGCCACAAGCACAGACAGCAUGACGCCCAGGGGUGAGUUCUGGGACAGGCGGAGCAGCGCAAAAGCCCCAAGAACCAGAGGAAAGUUUUCCCAAACGGAGCUCCAACGGAGUGGGGACUGGGGAGGGAACGAGACGGAGCUCUGGUGACAAUGGUAUAUGCGAUUGUCGGGGGAAGUUUAGCACAUUAAACAGGCGGAUUAGUUUCGGGAAUGCAUAAAUAAAUAUAAUUGGGUUUCGCCAUAAA